AUUACAUGAAACAUACAAUACAUCAAACAUGUUGUUAAUAAAAACUUUUAAUAGAAACAGCAGUAACACGAUGCUUCCUAACACAUUCGUAGGAUAGCUGAUUCGCUAGCUUUCCUCCACUUCGUUCUUGGUCUUGUAAGAUCUUUGUUGUGGCUCGCAAUCAAUUUUUAUUUAUUGAAAAUAAAAAAAAAUAACGGCAAUAACCUCUUGUCAAAAUAAAAUAAGAGCAAUUUAGGUGAGUAUACAAAAAUGGAAUAAUAAUUAGGUACAUGUUAUUUUUCAAAAGUAUUUGCAGAAUCAUGCAAGGAGGAUGUGUGAAAUUACAUAAAACUCCACAACAACAUAUACAAUACCAAAAGCAGGAUAUACUCAAUGGUGAAGCUGCCACAUCAGAAUAAAAAAUCAACCAAUAAAGAAGUUCUUUUUUGCCAGUUCAGCUCAGCUGAACUGGAAAUGGUAUUUCGAGUGGGCUCUGUAAAAAAUAUAAUCCAGUCCAUUCCCAGCCCAAAACUAUCUCCUGUCAAGUUUCACGGUUCUCUCCCCCUCAACUCUUCCACCUCGUCUUCUCCAACCUAUGAUUUCUUGCGUUACCUAAAAUCACUCCUGAUGAUCAAUGAUAAUCUUUAAACUUACAAUUGGCCUUUGUUAAUAGAUUGGAAGAUUCGUACGGUAAUUCUCCUCUUUCUUCCCUAUGCUUUUGUACGUUUAUGUUUCUGUGUAGAUGUCUCUUUGGAAAUAGAUGUUUUUUGUUGUCUGAACGUAUUUGAUUCUUGGCAGAGAUUUUUGUUAUGUUCUUUCUGAGAUUUAUUAUUACUGAGAAAAUAAGGCUGUGUGAGCUCUUUCUGUAAGGGAUUGAGAGAGGAGAUAAUGCAGUGGAAACACUAAUAUGUUGUGUAAUUUAGAACACUAAAUCAGUUGUAGUCUAUGCUUGGUGGUGAUGUUCUGUCGUGGUUUCCUUUGGUUUCUCAGUUAUUGUUUCUAAUUCAGGAACUGGAUUCCCAUCCAUAAGGGGGCUUCGAGGUCACAAGGCCCGUUAUCUUCGAGGUUAGCCAAAAUGAUGAUUGAUUACGUAUAGGUGUUGACACAAUAGGUUCCAUUCUGACUAAUCUGAAUCUAGCCAAAAUGAUGAUUAAUACAAACGUCGUUUAUUUUUUAUUUUUCAGAUGUUUCCUGGUGGGCAAAUGACAAAGAUGCAGAACUGUUACGUCUUGGCUAUGUCAAGCCUGAAGUAGUUAGUUGGUCGCCUCGAAUUAUUGUGCUUCAUAACUUUCUAAGCUCAGAGGAAUGUGAAUACUUAAAAGCAAUCGCCCGACCUCGCCUUCAGGUUUCCACUGUUGUUGAUAUAAAAACUGGAAAGGGAGUUAAAAGUGACGUGAGGACAAACUCUGGAGUAAUGGAGACUGGCACCGAGUAAGCAAAGAGAGGUUCCAGAGCAGGUACCUAAAAACUAAUUUUGUUUUACCUCUCUUCAAAUUUUAGAAUUGUUUCUCUUCAAUGAUUUAACCUUUAAAACAUUUUUUUUGAUGAUUUUCAGAUUCUUGAUCGUUACAACACAAGAGAUGAUCUUAGGAAGAUAGAUCACUUAGCAAUCGAUAAGUACGCACUGCGUGGACUGAGGUCAUUAGCUGUUGCAAGACAGACUGUACCUGAGAAAACAAAAAAAAAAUGCUCUGGUGAUCCAUGGGAAUUCGUUGGUGGGUUGCCUUUGUUUGAUCCUCCACGACAUGAUAGUGCAUACACCAUUAGAAGAGCUUCAGACCUCGGUGUCAACAUCAGUGAUUACUGGUGAUCAACUUGCUAUUUCCAGUGAGACUCGACUUAAGCUCGGUAUGGGAUCAAACAUGUAUCCAUACCAUCAGCUUCUCUACUUGGAUAAGAAAGCCAUCCGAGAGAGUUUAGGCAACCAAGUGAUGUUUUUCUAAUCUCUUGAUUCCAAGUAAGUUUUAAGUAUUUAUACAAAUUCUUGAAAGCAAACCCCUCAGACAAAGUUAUCCUAAUAUUUUAAAAUUGUUCACUGCAGACUCUGAGCCAUAACAUUCAGCAAGAAUACAUAGAAGUUGUAGAGAGUUGUGUGUUUACAAGUUUUGAAUAGUGAAUAUGUCUAACAACUCAACAGUUCCCAGUAAUGAUAUCUGAUAUAAACUUUUUGAUAUUUUUGGGUGUUUUGUUACUUCUUGACAAUGAUAGUUAGUCUCAACUAGCAGAUGAAGAAGAAAGGACUUAAAAUUCUGCUUUUCUCAGUUUAAAUUUAUUAAUUCGGUAUUAGUAUAGGGUCCAUGAUGAUCCUUUCCUGUGUGUAGAGGGUGGAUAAAUUGAUUGAAACUGGAGACAGUGAGCAUAUUUUUCAGAAAGCAAUCAUGUAGUAAGGAAGAGGGCAGGCUAUUCAGGUUUCGACAAUACGUGUGGUUCAAGUUAGUUUUUUUCUGCCUUCGUGCAUGCAGGUAAUAAAUAUUGGAUACACUAGCUGAGGUUCAAGAACGACAUGGCGCUUUCAGAGGCUUAGAGAAGAAACUCCUCUACAUUGUAGUUAUAAGAAAAAUGAUGAAUUUGAAGGUGUCAAACAAAAUGCUGAUUAAAGAAUGCAUUUGAGAUCAGUAAGAGGUUCUUCCCAUUCCACUUUUUCCUCCGGGCAGAAUAUUUUUUGUUAUUAAAGCUUUUUUUCAUGUGGUCAGUUUAGGUGCUAUGGAUCGGAAGAGGUGGAAAAGCCUCAAAGCCAGACGAAAGGUAACUCUGUAUGUAUAUAUAUUCUUGAAAAACCUUGAACUGUUUGCAUGGAGCUCUAUUGUUCAAUGAACAUUAGUAUCUAAAGAGUUUAUUUGUGCAUCUGUAUAUUAGUCGUUCCCACGAACUAACAUUUUAUAUCGAGUCAAUCUCUUGCCAAAGGUUUUUCUACCAACUUUACAGAAUUAGCCAUUCAAAUAGGACAUAAACAAGUGAUGAUUUUUUUUGUUUCUGAAAGGAAUGGUCUAUUACUUUUUUUAGGAAUGGUCUAUUACCUUUAGGGGGACAAGGCAAAUGUCACGAGCGCGUUUCACCGAAAUUCACAAGUACUGCUAGACUGAGCCCUUUACCUUUUAAUUUAAGGGUAAAUAUAUCUGAAAUAUUCAGAAUUUAUAUUGAUCAAUUUCUUAAUUCCUACAUAUAUAUUCUCUGUUGCAGUUUUUUUACCAUUUGAGAUUUUUCUUUGUUGGGAAUAUAUUUAACUUUAAGCUUAUGUUGUGAAGAUUACUCGCACGAUAUACUUAUGGCCUUAAUAUGCAGCAUUUUGUUUCCACCAAGAUGCGAGUCUAUAUUGGCAGUAGAGAGAUCAGGAAGAGAGUCAUACAUUGGCACUAGAGAGGAAUAAGAAAACGAGUUGGUGGACGCUAAAAGAGAUUGCCAUGUUGUACAUGAAGUCUAUUUUCAUGAAAUAUGACAAUAACAGGAGGGGUGUCCUUUGGAUUUGGGAUUUUGGAGGAGUACACAGCAAAUGAGAAAGUAUGGCGUUUUUUCUUUGAAUAUUUAUCAAAUGGUGUGAACACUUAGCUUGAUUCUUUUGCCACCUAAUAUAUGCUACGUAUGACCUUCCUUCUUUAAGUUUGUCAUGUAAGUUGUGUAACAAACACUAGCCAUAAGCCUAACUAAAAAUUUUCUAUAGGAAAA